UACGGAGGAUGCAAGCGUUAUCCGGAAUGAUUGGGCGUAAAGCGUCCGCAGGUGGCAAUGUAAGUCUGCUGUUAAAGAGUCUAGCUCAACUAGAUACAAGCAGUGGAAACUACAUAGCUAGAGUACGUUCGGGGCAGAGGGAAUUCCUGGUGUAGCGGUGAAAUGCGUAGAGAUCAGGAAGAACACCGGUGGCGAAGGCGCUCUGCUAGGCCGUAACUGACACUGAGGGACGAAAGCUAGGGGAACGAAGGGG
rnacentral:rRNA from 1 species